rnacentral:rRNA from 1 species
AGAGUUUGAUCAUGGCUCAGAAUGAACGCUGGCGGCGUGCUUUACACAUGCAAGUCGAGCGAGGGGCCCGCAAGGGCCAGUCGAGCGGCGAACGGGUGAGUAACGCGUGGAUUAUCUGCCCUGAGGUGGGGGAUAACCCGGGGAAACUCGGGCUAAUACCGCAUAUGACCGUGAGGUCAAAGGGGGGUCGCAAGAUCUCUCGCCAUAGGAGGAGUCCGCGUCCGAUUAGCUAGUUGGUAGGGUAAUGGCCUACCAAGGCGACGAUCGGUAGCCGGCCUGAGAGGGUGAUCGGCCACACUGGAACUGAGACACGGUCCAGACUCCUACGGGAGGCAGCAGUGGGGAAUUUUGCGCAAUGGGCGAAAGCCUGACGCAGCAACGCCGCGUGGAGGAUGAAGGUCCUUGGAUUGUAAACUCCUGUCAGCAGGGAAAAAGCGACUUAGCCUCAUACGCUAGGGAGUUGAUUGUACCUGCAGAGGAAGCCCCGGCUAACUCUGUGCCAGCAGCCGCGGUAAUACAGAGGGGGCAAGCGUUAUUCGGAAUUAUUGGGCGUAAAGGGCGCGUAGGCGGCUUGGCAAGUGGAAGGUGAAAUCCCUCGGCUUAACCGAGGAACUGCCCUCCAAACUGCUUCGCUUGAGACCGGGAGAGGUGAGUGGAAUUCCCAGUGUAGCGGUGAAAUGCGUAGAUAUUGGGAGGAACACCAGUGGCGAAGGCGGCUCACUGGACCGGUACUGACGCUGAUGCGCGAAAGCGUGGGGAGCAAACGGGAUUAGAUACCCUCGUAGUCC